AUUGGCGGCCACCGGCAUUCGGCCUCGCUGAGGGGCCGGGGGGUGGUCUGCGCCCAGCCCAGCCCCGCUCGAGAUAAGGGGGUGAUGGAACAGCCCUUCCUCCCCAGGAGUUGGGGCGGGCAGCCUGCGAAAUAGGGGAAGUGCGGCGCGGGUGGUUGAAGAAGAGAGGGGAGGAAACUUCCUUAAGAGGAGGAGGAGGAGCAGCAGCAGCAGCCGAGCAAAGUACACCGGGGGUGGGUGAAAGGAAGGGUGGAAAGGAAGCGAUGACCGCUUACCCGCACGGGCAGUUGCCUCCGAUUUGCCUCUUCCUGCCUGGCCCGCGGGUGGGGGUACCGGGGCGGGGGCGGGAAGGCUUAAUUCGGUGCAAUAGCAAAAACAAAAGGCGGUCUUGCUCAGGAAACGCAGCAGCUGCUCGCGCACCGCCUCCCUGCCGGAGCAGCAGCAGCACGCCGUGUUAAGAGCGGGGGAAGGGAAAGCGAAGGGCAUCCACGCAGUGAAUGUCUGAACGGCACCUUUCUCCGCCGCUGAAAAAGCCACUCUCCGAUUCAGAUUCAGACCCAGGGCAAAGUAAGGAAGGAAGAAAGAGGAGUCUAGGUUAGAGGCGCGCGUAGCGUGCGCCCGGUCUCCAGUAAUAACAUCCGAGUCGGUCUUUGUGCGGAAUCCACCACAGAAAUUUUUCCUCUUCAUAUCCAGAGCCAUUUCUAACCACGGAACCCGAGUUACAAAGGAAAAUAACUUUCAAGUGGGGAUUUGUAACCAAUAAUCGCUUGAGAAAGAACUAAACAUUCCCUUGCUUAUUCGCCAGUUCUCUACUGAAAUAUUUAUUAUAGGAGAAAGAAUCGAUAUCAAAGCACUAUGGUACAUAUUACCCUCACUAAAUGAAUAGCUUAGAAAUCUACAAAAGGAAAUACAACUGCUUCUGUGCAAAGAACCAUUCGUUCCAUUGAGGAAAUUUUCUUGUGAAUAUUUUCUUUGCUCAGAAUUAUAGCUUGUUAAAGUCACAGAAAUCAUUUUCAGAGGAAGUAUAUCAAGACUUGCAAUGAUUAAUUAAAUGUAGUUGAGAAUGCAAAUCAGUAUUUGUUGGCCAUGGUUAUCUGCUUAACUUCUACACCAGUGAUUCUCAACCUUAGCAACUUUAAGAUGUCUGGACUUCAAUUCCCAGAACUCCCCUGCCAGCAUGCUGGCUGGGGAAUUCUGGGAGUUGAAAUCCAGAUAUCUUAAGGUUGCUAAGGGGGAAAAACACUGUUCUACACAGUGCAUGGUAUAAUCUUAGCUGGACUUUGAGCUUACAAGCCUCAAUAUAACUGGCUCCCUCAGCCAACAGGACAGACUUAAUAUUUGUUGAAAAGGUGAUUGCAUGGCCUCUUAAAAGGGAUUUUCUCCAAUAGGUUCACCCGGUCCAGAUUUUAAAAUGACAUAAUUGAAAUCUACAGCUAAUGAGCCUGCUUAGCUCAAAUUAAUCUGUACACAUUGAUUUUACCAUUUCUCUGCCUAUUUUCUUUAUCUUCUCAGACCUAAGAAUAUUGUUUCAUACUACCACCCUUUCUUAGGUUCUUGUAUAUUUUCAUGAUCAUUUUCAUUUCUUUUUCCAGAUUCCAUCUUUUAUAAAAAUUCCUUUGAAGCAGGGGUGAAAUGUAAAAUUUGUUACUACCGGUUCUGUGGGCAUGGCUUGGUGGUGGUGGUGGGGUAAUGUAACUGGGUGGGCGUGGCCAACUUUUUUUUUUUUUUAAUUUUUCCAAGCAUUUUUUCUAAUGCUUUGAAAAGCCUCUCUGCCGAUCUGGAACUCAGCUGGGAUCGUCAGAGAGGCUUUUUAAAAAAUGCCUCUCUGCCAAUCAGGGAACUCAGCUGGGAUCAUCAAAGACUUUUCAAAGCAUUUUUUUUACCACCUCUUUGGCCAAGAGGUUGCAGAAAAAAAUGCUUUGAAAAGCCUCUGACGAUCCCAGUUGAGCCGCGUGAUCAUUAGAGGCUUUUUUUUAAUUUUUAAAACCAUUUUUUCUACAACCUCUUCGGCGAAGAGCUUUCAA